UACAGAGGGUGCAAGCGUUAAUCGGAAUUACUGGGCGUAAAGCGUGCGUAGACGGUAGCGUAAGUCGGGUGUGAAAGCCCCGGGCUCAACCUGGGAAUUGCAUUCGAGACUGCUCUGCUAGGGUGCGGAAGAGGGGAGCGGAAUUUCCGGUGUAGCGGUGAAAUGCGUAGAUAUCGGAAGGAACACCAGUGGCGAAAGCACUCUGCUGGGCCGACACUGACACUGAGAGACGAAAGCUAGGGGAGCGAAUGGG
rnacentral:rRNA from 1 species